rnacentral:rRNA from 1 species
UACGGGGGGGGUAAGCGUUGUUCGGAAUUACUGGGCGUAAAGCGUGCGCAGGCGGUGAUGUAAGACCGAUGUGAAAGCCCCGGGCUCAACCUGGGAAUGGCAUUGGAAACUGGCGGGCUUGAGUGUGGCAGAGGGGGGUGGAAUUCCGCGUGUAGCAGUGAAAUGCGUAGAGAUGCGGAGGAACACCGAUGGCGAAGGCAGCCCCCUGGGCUGACACUGACGCUCAGGCACGAAAGCGUGGGGAGCAAACAGG